rnacentral:rRNA from 1 species
GACCAGACUCGCCCGCGGGGUUCAGCCGGCAUUCGUGCCGGUGUACUUCCCCGCGGGCGGGCCAGCGUCGGUUUGGGCGGCCGGUCAAAGGCCCCCGGAAUGUAGCACCCUUCGGGGUGCCUUAUAGCCGGGGGUGCAAUGCGGCCAGCCUGGACCGAGGAACGCGCUUCGGCACGGACGCUGGCAUAAUGGUCGUAAACGACCCGUCUUGA